rnacentral:lncRNA from 13 species
ACAUUUAUGCUAUGAAAUGUAUGACUAUGGAAGUUAAUAAGCAAUUAUUUCAUUAUAUUGUACUUUACUAAUGCACAAGUUUCAGAAUUUUCAUUCACAAUGUGUUAUUUCCAACUGGGAUGUGGUGAUCAAUCAUAUUUGUUUCCUUUUUCAUUCUCAUUUAGUAUUGGACAUAAUGUAUGCAGCAACGUGCCUUCCAUAAAGGUAAUUUAGUAUUGGACAUAAUGUAUGCAGCAAUGUGCCUUCCUUAAAGUGCAAUUCCAGCGCUUUUCAAACUAAUGUUCAUUAUCUCCAGCACAAUGCCAGUGUCUACAUAUGUGAAAACAGCGCAUUUCUACGUUUUGUAGAAAAAAAUAUUAAGCAAAAACUUUCUACCCGAUGACACAUUUUAAAAACAAUGAUAUUCAAACACUAUGAGAUUCGCUGCGGUGUAGGGAGCAAGAAAAUACCCUCUCGGGCUACGAAUUCAUUGCAGGUUUUGAAAAUCACAUAUUUUUUUAACUUUUAAUCCUACCCCGGGAUAUCACAGAGCACCUUUCUUCUCAUCUUUCUUCUUUCACCUUUCUUCUUUUAAGCACCUUUCUUCUCACCUUUCUUCUUUCACCUUUCUUCUUUAAAGCACCUUUCUUCUCAUCUUUUUAAUCCUUAAGAGUAAAAAAAAAAGAUAUAUCUAGCUUAAACAGAUGGAUUUUGACUCCAGGGAGUCUUUGUAACCACAUAUCAUAGAAACACACUGUUUUCACAUAUGUAGACACUGAUAUGGUACUGGAGAUAAUGAAUAAGGUUGAAAUGUGGUGGAAUUGCCCUUUAACAAACUGAUGUUUCUCUGCAAUAUUACAUGUGUUUAUUUCUUUGGCAGAUAUCAUCAGUUUUUAUUUUUUUAAGGAAUAUUUGCCAUCCAUUAUUGACACAAUGUCUGAGGACAGUUUGGCGUGUUUCAUAAAAAUAAUUAGAUGAAUUAGAGUUUCUUAAUUUGGUUGUGUAUUUGGUCGUAAAAUAAUUAAGCUAUUUUUGUCACCGCUAUCGUUGUCUCUUUAUUAUUCCAAAUCUGGUCAACUCAACAUGUAGACUGAAAUAAACUGUAAAAUAUACUGUUACCUUCUUGAACAUCUUCUGGUCAUUUGUUCUAAACCAUUUUCUGCAAUUAUAUUCCAAUGAAAUCUCAGAACUAAAAGUUAUUUUAUA